GGCCCCUUCGUCUAUCGGUUAGGACGCUAGGUUCUCAACCUAGAAAGGCUGGGUUCAAUUCCCGCAGGGGCUACCA
rnacentral:tRNA from 1 species